rnacentral:tRNA from 1 species
GAGCCGAUAGUCCAGCGGACGACGAUCUAUGCCUUGAAUGCACAGAACCGAGGUUCGAAUCCUCAUCGGCUCG